rnacentral:rRNA from 1 species
UACGUAGGUGGCGAGCGUUAUCCGGAAUUACUGGGCGUAAAGCGCAAGCAGGCGGUCUGUUAAGUUUGGCGUAAAAUCUCCUGGCUUAACUGGGAGGGGUCGUUGGAGACUGGCAGACUUGAGGCGAUGAGAGGGGCAUGGAAUUCCCGGUGUAGUGGUGGAAUGCGUAGAGAUCGGGAGGAACACCAGAGGCGAAAGCGGUGCCCUGGCAUUGGCCUGACGCUGAGAUGCGAAAGCGUGGGGAGCGAACGGGAUUAGAUACCCCGGUAGUCCACGCCGUAAACGAUGAGUACUGGGUGUAGGUGGGGUUAGAGCCAUCUGUGCCGAAGCAAACGCGUUAAGUACUCCGCCUGGGGAGUACGGCCGCAAGGCUAAA